GGUGAGAGAGGGGAGAGACUGCGAGAGGGGGAGGCUUUACAGUGACGCGCUCAAUGCGGGGAAAGGAGGUCGUGGGCGGUUCGGACUCGGGGUGGGAUUCGCGGGCGACGAGGGCUGCUCCGCGCGGAAGAUUCGGCCGGCGGUUGAAGAUGAAGCUAACAGGUGGGGGCCCACCUGUCAGCGGCACAUGCAGCGCGCGCACGGGCUGGGACGGCGUGGUCGGGCGUAGGUGAGUAGGCGGGCCCAGUUAGGUCGGUCCGGCCAUUUCUUUCCCUUUUUUUUUCUUCUUUUCUUUUUUUCCUUUUCGAUUUUCUGUUUUUGAAUACCAAUUUUGAUUCAAAGCUCCAAAUCAAACCAAAUAAAUUGCAACAAAAUUUGUAAAAUCAUAUUUUCAUAUGAUUCAACCUUUGGGACAAGAAUUCCCUCAAAAUAAAAUAUUUAAAAAAUACUUUUUCCUUUAAACUAGCCUUUAGGGAUUUUUAGCUAUUAAAAUAAUUAGUGUUUCAAAUCAAAUUCAGAAGACAAUAAAUGGUGUAGCUUUAUAAAUGCAUUAAACCCCUUUUUAUGCCAAAACCCUCAUGGGUUAAAAUGAAAUUAACCAAAAGCAA
rnacentral:lncRNA from 1 species